GCCUCGCCAGAGCGAGCAGGAGGUCGGCGAGCAUGGCGAUGGGGGACCUCACAGCUUGAGGUGGAGCCAGCCGUUUGCAGGUAUCUGCCUGCACCUCAAUUGGGACUUGAAGCUUGUUCUGCACCUGCAUGUCGAAGUUUCCUUCGAAUUUCAUGUUGAAUUGUUGAUACUUCAGUGCAUCCACAAAACCACGAGUGGGCGUUUCUCUGGUCAAUGUUCCAAAAUGCAGACAUGAAUGAAUCUAUGGCUGAUGAUAAAGGAAGCAAGCAAGAUACGGUGGUGACUACUUCUCACCCUGUAUUGUUAUUACCAGCUGACGGGAUGGUAGGAGGUAGUGGAGUGCAGAAAAUUGAUGCCUGGUGCAGCUAAUGCUGUGAAAAGAGCAAAAGAAUGAAAGGAUUUAGAGCAGAAAACUUGGUGCUA